rnacentral:rRNA from 1 species
AUUGAACGCUGGCGGCGUGCUUAACACAUGCAAGUCGCACGUGAAAGUUCCUUCGGGGAUGAGUAAAGUGGCGCACGGGUGAGUAACGCGUGGAUGAUCUACCUAUGAGUUGGGGAUAACAGUUGGAAACGAUUGCUAAUACCCGGUACGUUCUGCUAUCGAAGGCAGGAGAAAGAAGGCCUCUGUUUCAAGCUUUUGCUCAUAGAUGAGUCCGCGUCCCAUUAGCUAGUUGGUGAGGUAACGGCUCACCAAGGCGACGAUGGGUAGUAGGUCUGAGAGGAUGGCCUGCCACACUGGGACUGGAACACGGCCCAGACUCCUACGGGAGGCAGCAGUGGGGAAUAUUGCGCAAUGGGCGAAAGCCUGACGCAGCGACGCCGCGUGAGGGAUGAAGGUCUUCGGAUCGUAAACCUCUGUCAAGAGGGAAGAAACCCUAGGGUGCUAAUCAGCCCUAGCUUGACGGUACCUCUAAAGGAAGCACCGGCUAACUCCGUGCCAGCAGCCGCGGUAAUACGGAGGGUGCAAGCGUUAAUCGGAAUCACUGGGCGUAAAGCGCUCGUAGGCUGUUUGGUAAGUCAGGGGUGAAAGCCCACCGCUCAACGGUGGAAUUGCCUUUGAUACUGCUGGACUAGAGUUCGGGAGAGGGUAGUGGAAUUCCAGGUGUAGGAGUGAAAUCCGUAGAUAUCUGGAGGAACAUCAGUGGCGAAAGGCGACUACCUGGACCGAUACUGACGCUGAGGAACGAAAGCGUGGGGAGCAAACAGGAUUAGAUACCCUGGUAGUCCACGCCGUUAACGAUGGAUGCUAGGUGUCGGGGCGUAUGCUUCCGGUGCCGUAAGUUACGCGUUAACAUCCCCGCCUGGGGAGUACGGUCCCCAAGAGCUUGAAACUCAAAGAAUUGA